rnacentral:rRNA from 1 species
GAACGACUCUUGGCAACGGAUAUCUCGGCUCUUGCAUCGAUGAAGAACGUAGCGAAAUGCGAUACUUGGUGUGAAUUGCAGAAUCCCGUGAAUCAUCGAGUCUUUGAACGCAAGUUGCGCCCGAAGCCUUCUGGCCGAGGGCACGUCUGCCUGGGCGUCAUGA